AAAAAAAACUAUACCACACAAAAUAAAAAAGAGAUCAUGAGAAAGAAGUGUAUGUUGUUGAUGAUGAUGAUGGCACUGGCGAUGAUGCCAUUACCAGCAAUGAGUGAAUCAUUUGGAGAUUGUGAAGUGAGAUGCGAUUAUUCAUGCCAAAUAUAUUACGUCGAAGUGAAACAAUGCAUUAACGAUUGUAUUGUUAACAAAUGCUACAAGCGGCCAAUUCGGACAGCGGCUAAAGGGAUGUUUCAAGAAAGCAAUGUUUAGAGAAAAAGAUAUAUCUACUCUUUACGUUUAGGUCUUGAAUGUUUAGUGAAUUUUUAAUUUUUGGAUUUCUUAAAAUUUAGUAAAACUAUUUUAUUAUAAUCUUUUAUUCA